rnacentral:rRNA from 1 species
GACGAACGCUGGCGGCGUGCCUAAUACAUGCAAGUCGAGCGGACAGAAGGGAGCUUGCUCCCGGAAGUUAGCGGCGGACGGGUGAGUAACACGUGGGCAACCUACCCUGUAGAUCGGGAUAACAUCGAGAAAUCGGUGCUAAUACCGGAUAAUCAUUUGAAGUGCAUGCUUCGAAUGUAAAAGAUGGCUCCGGCUAUCACUACGGGAUGGGCCCGCGGCGCAUUAGCUAGUUGGUAAGGUAAUGGCUUACCAAGGCAACGAUGCGUAGCCGACCUGAGAGGGUGAUCGGCCAGACCGGGAGUGAGACACGGCCCAGACUCCUACGGGAGGCAGCAGUAGGGAAUCUUCCGCAAUGGACGAAAGUCUGACGGAGCAACGCCGCGUGAGCGAUGAAGGCCUUCGGGUCGUAAAGCUCUGUUGUCAGGGAAGAACAAGUGCCAUAGUAACCGAUGGCACCUUGACGGUACCUGACCAGAAAGCCACGGCUAACUACGUGCCAGCCGCCGCGGUAAGAC